AUCAACUUUCGAUUGGUAGGAUAGAGGCCUACCAUGGUGGUAACGGGUAACGGGGUGUUAGGGCACGACACCGGAGAGGGAGNUGAGAAACGGCUACCACAUCCAAGGAUGGCAGCAGGCGCGCAAAUUACCCAAUCCCGACACGGGGAGGUAGUGACAAUAAAUAACAAUACGGGGUUCUUUCGGAUCUCGUAAUUGGAAUGAGUACAAUUUAAAUCUCUUAACGAGGAACAAUUGGAGGGCAAGUCUGGUGCCAGCAGCCGCGGUAAUUCCAGCUCCAAUAGCGUAUAUUAAAGUUGUUGCAGUUAAAAAGCUCGUAGUUGAAUUUCGGGGUCAAUAAGUUGGUCGUGCCAAUGGUAUGCACUGGCUUUAUUGAUUCCUACCUCUUGACGAACUGUGAUGCCAUUAAUUUGGUGUCGCAAGGAAUCAGGACUGUUACCUUGAAAAAAUUAGAGUGUUUAAAGCAGGCUUACGCUUGAAUACAUUAGCAUGGAAUAAUGAGAUAGGACGUUUGAACCUAUUUUGUUGGUUUCUAGGAUCGACGUAAUGAUUAAUAGGGAUAGUUGGGGGCAUUAGUAUUCAAUUGUCAGAGGUGAAAUUCUUGGAUUUAUUGAAGACUAACUACUGCGAAAGCAUUUGCCAAGGAUGUUUUCAUUAAUCAAGAACGAAAGUUGGGGGAUCGAAGACGAUCAGAUACCGUCGUAGUCUUAACCAUAAACUAUGCCGACUAGGGAUCGGAUGAUGUUAAUUUUUUAAUGACUCAUUCGGCGCCUUACGGGAAACCAAAGUGUUUGGGUUC
rnacentral:rRNA from 1 species